AGAGUUUGAUCCUGGCUCAGAAUGAACGUUGGCGGCGUGGAUUAGGCAUGCAAGUCGAGCGAGAACCAGUCUUCGGACUGGGGACAGCGGCGAACGGGGUAGGAAUACCUCGGUGACGUACCCCCCGGUCGGGGAUAGCGGCGGGAAACUGCCGGUAAUACCCGAUGAUCUGUCCAAGUUUUACGACAGGGACAGCAAAGGUGUGAUUCCGUCGGGGGAGCGGCUGAGGUCGUAUUAGCUGGUUGGUGAGGCAACGGCUCACCAAGGCGAUGAUGCGUAGGGGGUGUGAGAGCAUGGCCCCCACCACUGGCACUGAGACACUGGCCAGACACCUACGGGUGGCUGCAGUCGAGAAUCUUCGGCAAUGGGCGCAAGCCUGACCGAGCGACGCCGCGUGCGGGAUGAAGGUCUUCGGAUUGUAAACCGCUGUCGGAGGGGAUGAAAUGCAUCGGGGUACUCCCCGGUGUUUGACAGAGCCUCGGAGA
rnacentral:rRNA from 1 species